rnacentral:rRNA from 1 species
GAUGAACGCUGGCGGCGUGCCUAAUACAUGCAAGUCGAGCGAACAGACGAGGAGCUUGCUCCUCUGACGUUAGCGGCGGACGGGUGAGUAACACGUGGAUAACCUACCUAUAAGACUGGGAUAACUUCGGGAAACCGGAGCUAAUACCGGAUAAUAUAUUGAACCGCAUGGUUCAAUAGUGAAAGACGGUUUUGCUGUCACUUAUAGAUGGAUCCGCGCCGCAUUAGCUAGUUGGUAAGGUAACGGCUUACCAAGGCAACGAUGCGUAGCCGACCUGAGAGGGGGAUCGGCCACACUGGAACUGGGACACGGUCCAGACUCCUACGGGAGGCAGCAGUAGGGAAUCUUCCGCAAAGGGCGAAAGCCUGACGGAGCAACGCCGCGUGAGUGAUGAAGGUCUUCGGAUCGUAAAACUCUGUUAUUAGGGAAGAACAAAUGUGUAAGUAACUAUGCACGGCUUGACGGUACCUAAUCAGAAAGCCACGGCUAACUACGUG